UUAAGUCAGAUGUGAAAGACCCGGGGCGUUAACCUCGGAAGUUGCAUUUGAAACUGGCAGGCUAGAGUCUUGUAGAGGGGGUAGGAAGUUUCAGGUGUAGCGGUGAAAUGCGUAGAGAUCUGAAGGAAUACCAGUGGCGAAGGCGGCCCCCUCGGACAAAGACUGACGCUCAGACUGCGAAAGCGUGGGGAGCCAAACAGGAUUAGAUACCCCUGGUAG
rnacentral:rRNA from 1 species